AUAUACAUGUAUUAAGAUCGAGUGUAAUAGUAUAUUUGUCCCAUGUUCAUUUUUUGGAUGUAUAUACGACUUUUAGAAAUUUAUGCGUUCUCAACAAAAAGAAACCAUCAAAGGUAGCCCUCUUCCGAAGAAAAAUAUUUGACUUUUAUCAACCUUAUAAACUAACAAUCGAAAACUCAUCCCAACACAAUCUUCUACCUUCUUCUCUAAUCCAUAUAGAUUCCACACUUCAGCCAAAA
rnacentral:sRNA from 1 species